ensembl:snRNA U6 U6 spliceosomal RNA
GUGCUCACUUUGGCAACCUAUAUACUAAAAUUGGAAUGAUACAGAGAAGAUUAGCAUGGCCCUGUGCAAAGAUGACACACAAAUUUACAAAGUAUUUCUCUAAAGAU